CGCCUCCUCCGCCGGCCGGCGCCAGGUACUCACAAGCAAGGCUGCGCCCAGAAAGCUGGGACCUUUCUUCUCCGGUGGCACGAAAAACGUUAGAUCCCAAGUUCCCAACCAAAGAGGAAAGUGUUCCCUAUCCAAUCCUCACCAUGGAAACCGCCAGCAAGAACGUCACCAAUGUCGUGCGCUCCAUGAAGCUGCUCAAGGUCGACGGCUACUGUGCCACCAAAACCAUGGGCAACGAGGACUGCAUCAAGUCCACCCACAGCAUUGGUGGGUAUGAGUGAGAGAUCUGCAUCUACCCCGCGAUGAUGCCGCACGCACGCGACGGCACCCCGUGGGUGGCGGUGAAGCUCGUGUUCCUCAGCGAGACCUGCCCGUCCAUCGUGAGGGCGAACCUAAGCUGUCGUCUGGUUGAUCCGAGGAGUGUCCUUCGACCGUCUGAAGAAAAGAGUGUGUCAUGUAUAUUCAACCGGUCUUGGGUAUCACGUUGUCUUCAGAUGUGCUCGCCUUUCGUCAGUGAAGAUUGUUCGCUUCCAGUUCGUCUCAUGUCGACGGGCACCCUAGCAUCAUCCGGUUAUCUCAGGAAUGAUUCUUUUACCGUGCUAUGCGUUAUCACGGUACUGAAGGAUGAUUUGCCAGCACGAGCAGCAACGGUGCCGGGUAAAGAAGUGACCGGGUCAUCACCUAGCCUGCAGAAUCACCUUGCUGAGCUCCUGCACAGUGGGUUGGAAGCAGAUGUCACAUUUGUUGUGUCGGGCAAGUCCUUCGCUGCACACAAUGUCAUCCUUGCUGCGAGGUCCCCUGUACUGAUGGCGGAGUUCUUUGGACACAUGAAGGAGACAAGCUCACAGCGCGUCGAGAUCAAGGACAUUGUUGCGGUGGUUUUCAAGCCGUUACUUUACUUCAUCUACAACGACUCUGUGAUGGAAUUUGAAAUGCAGCAUGAGGAGGUCACGAUGUUGGCCCAGCAUUUACUUGCAGCUGCUGACAAGUAUGGACUUGAUAGGCUCAAGGAGAUCUGUGAAGGCAAGCUAUCUGAUGGCAUCAGUGUCGACACAGCAGCAACUACUCUGGCAUUAGCAGAGCAGCACAACUGCCCGCAGCUCAAAGUGAAAUGUGUUGACUUCAUCGUUGGCACUCCUGCAAUUCUUGAUGCUGUGUUGGCGACGGACGGAUAUAAGCAUCUGGAGGCAAGCUGUCCUAUGGUGUUGCCGGAGCUUCUCAAGUCUGCGCGGGGCAGAAAGAGUUGACGUGUGACCGUAAGGGUGCUAAAGGUCCAAGAUUUUAUCAUGCCCGUAGUCUAUGUUUAUGGUUGCCAUGCAUCUGUGGUCCAGUAGAAACCUGUGUCUGUAUUCACAUAAACUGGAAAAACUUAUGUCCAUCUACGUAUAUGUAUGACCAUCUUAAUGCUUGCAUUUCCUCUCCAAUUUGAUCUAAUUUAGUGCUAAAUGAUCCAAAUUUUUGUA